rnacentral:rRNA from 1 species
GACGAACGCUGGCGGCGUGCUUAACACAUGCAAGUCGAACGGACAGGCCCUGCUUUUGUGGGGUGCUCGAUUGGCGAACGGGUGAGUAACACGUGAGUAACCUGCCCUUGACUUUGGGAUAACUUCAGGAAACUGGGGCUCAUACCGGAUAGGAGCUCCUGCUGCAUGGUGGGGGUUGGAAAGUUUCGGCGGUUGGGGAUGGACUCGCGGCUUAUCAGCUUGUUGGUGGGGUAGUGGCUUACCAAGGCUUUGACGGGUAGCCGGCCUGAGAGGGUGACCGGCCAAAUUGGGACUGAGAUACGGCCCAGACUCCUACGGGAGGCAACAGUGGGGAAUAUUGCACAAUGGGCGGAAGCCUGAUGCAGCAACGCCGCGUGCGGGAUGACGGCCUUCGGGUAGUAAACCGCUUUCGCCUGUGACGAAGCGUGAGUGACGGUAAUGGGUAAAGAAGCACCGGCUAACUACGUG